rnacentral:rRNA from 1 species
AUUGACCGCUGGCGGCAGGCCUAACACAUGCAAGUAGAACGAGUGGCGGAAGGGUGAGUAAUAUCUGGGAAACUGCCCGCUGGAGGGGGCAAACUAAUGGAAACGGUAGCUAAUAACGCAUACCAUCGGAGGUGCCCAGAUGGGAUGAGCUAGUAGGUGGGGUAACGGCUCACCAAGGCGAGGAUCCCUAGCUGGUCUGAGAGGAUGACCAGCCACACGGGAACUGAGACACGGCCCAGACUCCUACGGGAGGCAGCAGUGGGGAAUAUUGCACACUGGGCGCAAGCCUGAUGCAGCCAUGCCGCGUGUAUGAAGAAGGCCUUCGGGUUGUAAAGUACUUUCAGCGAGGAGGCGUUACUCGCAGAAGAAGCACCGGCUAACUCCGUGCCAGCAGCCGCGGUAAUUC